rnacentral:rRNA from 1 species
UGUGCCUACGGGACGCAGCAGUGGGGAAUAUUGCACAAUGGGGGAAACCCUGAUGCAGCAGCGCCGCGUGAGUGAAGAAGUCAUUCGUGAUGUAAAGCUCUAUCAGCAGGGAAGAAAAUGACGGUACCUGAGUAAGAAGCCCCGGCUAACUACGUGCCAGCAGCCGCGGUAAUACGUAGGGGGCAAGCGUUCUCCGGAUUUACUGGGUGUCAAGGGAGCGUAGACGGCCAGACAAGUCUGAAGUGAAAAUCCAGCGCUUAACGUUGGAAGUGCUUUGGAAACUGCCGGGCUGG